rnacentral:rRNA from 1 species
GCAAGUCGAGCGCGAAAGUUCCUUCGGGGAUGAGUAGAGCGGCGCACGGGUGAGUAACACGUGAAUAAUCUACCUAUUAGCCUGGGAUAACUGUUGGAAACGACAGCUAAUACCGGAUAAGCUCACACUGUUCUUGGGCAGAGUGAGAAAAGGCGGCCUCUUCCUGAAAGCCGUCACUGAUAGAUGAGUUCGCGUCCCAUUAGUUAGUUGGUGAGGUAAUGGCUCACCAAGACUUCGAUGGGUAGCUGGUCUUAGAGGAUGAUC